AGUGAACGCUGGCGGUAGGCCUAACACAUGCAAGUCGAACGGCAACACAGUAAGAGCUUGCUCUUACGGUUGGCGAGUGGCGGGCGGCUGAGGGAUACAUCGCAAUCUACUUUUUCGUGGGGGAUAACGUAGGGAAACUUACGCUAAUACCGCCUACCACCUACGGGUGAAAUCAGGGGAUCUUCGGACCUUGCGCGAUUGAAUGAGCCGAUGUCGGAUUAGCUAGUUGGCGGGGUAAAGGCCCACCACGGCGACGAUCCGUAGCUGGUCUGAGAGGAUGAUCAGCCACACUGGAACUGAGACACGGUCCAGACUCUGACGGGAGGCAGCAGUGGGGAAUAUGGGGCAAUGGGCGCAAGCCUGAUCCAGCCAUACCGCGUGGGUGAAGAAGGCCUUCGGGUUGUAAAGCCCUUUUGUUGGGAAAGAAAAGCAGCAGGUUAAUACCCCGCUGUGCUGACGGUACCCAAAGAAUAAGCACCGGCUAACUUCGUG
rnacentral:rRNA from 1 species